AAGCCACACAAACCAGACGGCC
rnacentral:misc_RNA from 1 species